CCUACGGGCGGCUGCAGUCGAGAAUCAUUCACAAUGGGGGAAACCCUGAUGGUGCGACGCCGCGUGGGGGAAUGAAGGUCUUCGGAUUGUAAACCCCUGUCAUGUGGGAGCAAAUUAAAAAGAUAGUACCACAAGAGGAAGAGACGGCUAACUCUGUGCCAGCAGCCGCGGUAAUACAGAGGUCUCAAGCGUUGUUCGGAAUCACUGGGCGUAAAGCGUGCGUAGGCUGUUUCGUAAGUCGUGUGUGAAAGGCGCGGGCUCAACCCGCGGACGGCACAUGAUACUGCGAGACUAGAGUAAGGGCGGGGGAACCGGAAUUCUCGGUGUAGCAGUGAAAUGCGUAGAUAUCGAGGGGAACACUCGUGGCGAAGGCGGGUUCCUGGACAUUAACUGACGCUGAGGCACGAAGGCCAGGGGAGCGAAAGGGAUUAGAUACCCGGUAGUC
rnacentral:rRNA from 1 species